rnacentral:rRNA from 1 species
AUUGAACGCUGGCGGCAUGCCUUACACAUGCAAGUCGAACGGUAACAGGUUAAGCUGACGAGUGGCGAACGGGUGAGUAAUGUAUCGGAACGUGCCCAGUCGUGGGGGAUAACUACUCGAAAGAGUGGCUAAUACCGCAUACGACCUGAGGGUGAAAGCGGGGGACCGUAAGGCCUCGCGCGAUUGGAGCGGCCGAUAUCAGAUUAGCUAGUUGGCGGGGUAAAAGCCCACCAAGGCGACGAUCUGUAGCUGGUCUGAGAGGACGACCAGCCACACUGGGACUGAGACACGGCCCAGACUCCUACGGGAGGCAGCAGUGGGGAAUUUUGGACAAUGGACGCAAGUCUGAUCCAGCAAUGCCGCGUGCAGGAUGAAGGCCUUCGGUUGUAACGUAGCUUUUCGUUACGGUAACGGAAACGGUAGGAGC